rnacentral:sRNA from 1 species
CAAUAGCCCCGAUGGGAGUGGCAUCCCAUCUCGUUUUUUCUACGAGAUGGAUAGAACGGACAGCGGGAAAAUGG